rnacentral:rRNA from 1 species
GACGAACGCUGGCGGCGUGCUUAACACAUGCAAGUCGAGCGGAAAGGCCCUUUCGGGGGUACUCGAGCGGCGAACGGGUGAGUAACACGUGAGUAAUCUGCCCUUGGCUUUGGGAUAACCACCGGAAACGGUGGCUAAUACCGGAUAUGACGGGCUCCGGCAUCGGGGUUCGUGGAAAGUUUUUUCGGCCAGGGAUGUGCUCGCGGCCUAUCAGCUUGUUGGUGGGGUAAUGGCCUACCAAGGCUUCGACGGGUAACCGGCCUGAGAGGGUGACCGGCCACACUGGGACUGAGACACGGCCCAGACUCCUACGGGGAGGCAGCAGUGGGGAAUAUUGGACAAUGGGCGGAAGCCUGAUCCAGCAACGCCGCGUGAGGGAUGACGGCC